CCUCUCGGGGGUAAGCGGGCAGAACUUGCAAGUAUUGAUGGGAGAUUCAGGCUUAGUGUCUGUGGCUGGGAGUGCUUAGUAGGUUGGCCAUUCGUGGUUUGACCGGUGUGUGCUCCUUGAUCCAUGGGCUCUGCGCCGCAUUUCUCUCUAUCAUCCGGGUCACAUGCAACUGUAUGGUAGUCUAGGUGCUGGGUGUCUGCAAAUCCUCGUGGUUUGAGCCCUGGUUUCCGGCUACUGUAGCGGUUGUUGAAAUAGGAGCAAGCGUUUGACGCGGUCGUGGAUUUUGGCGAGCAGGGUGCUCAUGAUGUGUGGACGGGUAACCGUAGCAUGUUGUGCGUACUGGUUGACAGCCAGAGUUUUUGCGGCUUUGCUCGAUGAUUGUGAUCUAAAACAUGCGUGGUCUGCCUGU
rnacentral:rRNA from 1 species